AUGGCGUUUCUGGUGCUUGUCCUUUCCCUGCUGGCUGCCCCGGGAUGUGUCCUGUCCCAAGUGCAGCUGGUCCAGUCCGGCCCAAGCGUGGUGAAGCCCGGAGAGCCUCUCGCACUGACCUGCUCUAUCACCGGUGACUCGGUCACUAGUAAUUACUGGGAAUGGGUCCGACAGGCUCCCGAGAAAGGGCUGGAGUGGGUGGGACAGAUCGACUGGUACAGCUCCAACUGGCGCAUAUACUACGGGGCCCGGUCACAGGUUGCUCUGACCCAGUCCGGUCCAGAAAGGAAGAAGCCCAGAGAAUCCAAUCAGCUGAAAUGCGCCGUGAGCGGGUUCGCUAUCUCCGGCGAUUAUAUGGACUGGGUCAGACAGGAGCUGGGAAAGGGGCUGGAGUGGCUGGUCAGCUACUGGAAAGCAGGGCAGAGCGAGUAUUAUUCUCCCACCAUCCAGGGGCGAUUCACAGCCUCCAAGGACAGCGCCAACUUCUACCUGUAA